UGGGAAUACUUACCCUCGAACCCCUCGUAGUUGGCCCUCCCCGCCGGCUAUUAUCCGGCCGUCGGAGUGUGAGGGCGAUGAGGAUCGUAGGAUUGACGGGCGGGAUCGCCUCCGGCAAGAGCACCGUCUCCAAUCUCUUCAAAUCCCACGGAGUUCCCGUCGUCGACGCCGACCUCGUCGCCCAUGAUGUAGUAAGAAAGGGCACUGGUGGUUGGAAAAAGGUUGUAGCUGCAUUUGGCAAUGAUAUUUUGCUAGAGAAUGGAGAAAUUGAUAGAGCACGCCUAGGUCAAAUUGUUUUUUCUGAUUCAACGAAGCGUCAACUUCUCAAUCGUCUGCUGGCACCAUAUAUUUCUUCUGACAUCUUUUGGGAAGUAAUGAAGCUAUGGCUCAAGGGGUCCAAGGUUAUCGUUCUUGACAUCCCAUUGUUGUUUGAGGCUAAGAUGGACAAAUGGACUGCUCCUAUUAUUGUUGUAUGGGUUGAUCCUGAAACUCAGGUACAACGUCUAGUGGCAAGAGAUGGCAUACCUGAAGAACAAGCUAGAAACAAGAUUAAUGCUCAGACUGCACUAGACUGGAAGAAGACAAAAGCAGAUAUAGUCAUCAAUAACUCAGAUGGCAUCCUGCACUGGAGGGCAUGCUCUCAAAGUUUAAGCAGAGUGAGAUCUUGAAAUCACUUGCAUGCACUGUGUUGUUGAAGCUUUGCAGAGUCAGAAUUGCUCGAGGAGUCAUCAUAUCUACGUAAGUGAUAUAUGGUUUUAGUGUCAAAAGGAUUUUUUUUUUUCGAGGUGUGUGUGAUAAGGAAAUAUGCGAAGACAUCAUCAAUGCAGUUAUGUAUAGUUUUGAUGCUUGGUGCCAAACACAGGUUACUACACACUGACCAUGUCAAUUAAGGGGUUGAUGGGUUUAAUGUUUAGGGUUUUGAGAGAGAUACAAACAAUGCAUUAUUUUUUUUUCUCAUGAAAGUGGCAUACUUGCUAACACCAUGCAUUUAGGUUAGACAAAUUAUAAGAUCACAGUCACAGACCGAAUAUUUGGCAUUCUAUAUUGGAACAGAUAAAUAGAUAGGCAGCAGAUAUACAUUAAGGCCGAGACAAAUAUUAUGAUGGCCACACUACUGACAUGUGAAAGUAUCAUGCAUGGGGGGUUAUAAAGCUAAGCUUUACGAAGCUUUAUCAUGGGCGCCAGUUGCAUGGUGUCCUCUCAGACAAGGACGGAGAAAAGGAUGAAUAAUUGAGCAAGGUGGCAUCACCUAAAAAGCCACCAGCAUAACAAUAACAUGCAACUUAAAGAGCUGCAAGCAGGGACAUUGAUUCACGGAGUGCCCCAUGCCGCUAAGCUAUUAGAUUCACUUACCAGGACACAUAUAUAUGGAGAUGAUCAGCAGAUAUCAGGAUCCAAUCUAUAUCUAUUAUGGAUGCUCACAGUAUAUAUGUCAUUCUCAGCUUUAGCAGUCUUCUGAAUCGAUGGUCCCACGGCAACUAAUUGAGGUAGGAUCCACAAAACGGCUCAUACUGCACUAAUCUUGGCAUCUUGUGCUUUGCUUGUCAGUGCAUGCAUGUCUAUCUUUCAGAUCAAAGCCUCUCAUUGGAUCUUUUAUCUUUUUCUUUGGGGUUAUCUAUCUAAAGUUUGAGGAUGUUUUGAGGGAGCGCACUUAGUUUAAGGCUCACUUUGAGUCUCAUGAUGGUUAAAUUCACUCGAUAUGCUGCAUUAAUUACAGGUUUGCCUUCCUAUCUUUCCUCAUUGUAGAGCUUAAUCUGACUGCUUCACUUCUAGACUAAAACAACACACAGCAGAACCUACUCCCAGCUUCCUACCUUAAUGGACACUUUUAAAGCAUUCGUUUGUUCAAAAAUACAUUUAUAACCUAAACUUCUGCUAGAUUUACACAGCUAAACUUGGAGCAGUGCAAAUGGAGCUACUGAACGAGCUCACAGUCUUUGUUAUGCCAGGCGGGGAACCACAAACUAAGACAUGCUGGGUGGCGCCACAGUAGCAAUAUAUGGUAAAAAGCCAUGCAAGGCUAAUGGUGACGGGAAGACAGGGGGACCACCAAUCAGAUCGCAUGAUAAGGGGUGGCCAUUCCACCAGAUAUGACCCACGUACCUCUCUCUCUCUCUCUCCCCCCCCCCUCUCCACAAAGGUGUGAAGUCACCUCUCAUUCUUCCAUUAGCAAGCUCAAACCACAGCUCAGUUAACUGAACCUAUAUGAAAGCUCCAAUCUCCCUCUCUUACUUAAAGGAAACACCAGUUUGAUAUGACAAGUGAGUUCUAUCAUUCCUUUUCUUUUGUCUUUAUAGUUUAUAAUAGAGGAUCAAUAGGCUAAAGGGUUGGUGAGGAAAUUAUAAACUACACUCAUUAAUGAGUUAAAAAAACCACCCACCACCUGCCUUCUUUCUUGCGUCCUGCCCUAGAGAAGUCAAUGCACUAGCUAGGGCUGGCUCUCCCAAAAACUCUAAAGAAAGAGAGAGAGGAGAGAGAGAGAGAGAGCGAGCAUGAGCAUUUAAUGGGUGUAAGAAAAGAAGCUAAGCAAUAAAAAGCUUUUAGAACCAGGCGUUUUUCUUUCCUUCUGAAAUAUCUGAUGCCAGCCAUUAAUUAUACAGAGGACUACGAUAGAAAUGCGGCAGCUUUGUGCAGCAUUGGCUUGGCUCUUACAAUUGCAUCAUCCAUGAUGGAAUUGAUUCUCCUCCUUCUGAUCCAAGAAAGUACAUUCUGAUCUUGAAUAGUUCGGUAAUAAUGGUGCAUGCGAUCACGGGGCAUCUUAAUUUAUUAUGACGCUAUUUCUCCUUCAACAUAAAAAAAAACAGCAGAUUUAUUGUACUCCCACCCACCUCAUAUCCUUGGUUCAAAUGUUGAUAUUAUGGGCUCUUUGCUCCAAGAUUCUUCAAAGAGCUUAUAAAUAGCUUGAUGGAAUAAAUGAAAUACUAAGAAGUAAUUUAUGUAAUUUUGACUUUCUUUCGUU